rnacentral:lncRNA from 1 species
UGGGAGUCUCACUAAUUAGUAUAUGGCAUGUAGACUAGACCUUGAUCAUCCUUUUUCAGCCUUACUCCUAUCCUCUACAAAACAUGGUAUCAUUGGGUCUGAAAAUCCCUGGCUCUAUUUCCCUAGAAAUUAAACCAGUUGCCUGCUGGGCUGGUUGGUGUACAGAAGAGGAGAAGGAUUCUGAGGGGUCAUCUCCAGUCCCAUUUUUUUCAGCCCCAGCCUGCAUCCCUUUCUACAGAAGUAACAACAAUUUCCAGUUUCUGAGCCUUUCCAGGGUUGUACUCAUUUCAGAGAGGCUUCAGGAUGGAGUUGUGAUAAACGCAUGUGUUCAGUCUACAAUGUUUAACAGGGAGUGCCUCCUGAUUUUUUCAUGUGAAUUACUGAGGAGUAGGUAGUAGACUAUCUUGAUGCCCUUCCUCAUGUCCCUUUGACUCUGAGUUGACCUGCAGCUGCAGU